rnacentral:rRNA from 1 species
AGUGAACGCUGGCGGUAGGCCUAACACAUGCAAGUCGAACGGCAGCACAGUAAGAGCUUGCUCUUACGGGUGGCGAGUGGCGGACGGGUGAGGAAUACAUCGGAAUCUACUUUUUCGUGGGGGAUAACGUAGGGAAACUUACGCUAAUACCGCAUACGACCUACGGGUGAAAGCAGGGGAUCUUCGGACCUUGCGCGAUUGAAUGAGCCGAUGUCGGAUUAGCUAGUUGGCGGGGUAAAGGCCCACCAAGGCGACGAUCCGUAGCUGGUCUGAGAGGAUGAUCAGCCACACUGGAACUGAGACCCGGUCCAGACUCCUACGGGAGGCAGCAGUGGGCAAUAUUGGACAAUGGGCGCAAGCCUGAUCCAGCCAUACCGCGUGGGUGAAGAAGGCCUUCGGGUUGUAAAGCCCUUUUGUUGGGAAAGAAAAGCAGCAGGUUAAUACCCCGCUGUUCUGACGGUACCCAAAGAAUAAGCACCGGCUAACUUCGU